UGAUAAAGGCUGGAGACCCAGGCUAGCAGGCCCAUUUAUGACAGUCAGACCCCAUUACGGGCUCAGCUGAGGACACAUCUGGAACCCAUUUCCUGCCAGGGGGAACGGUGGAUGGCGAGUAGUAGUCAGCGUUCAGCUGAGCCUCUCCUGUCUGGCUGUUGGCUGCCUCUCCUGGCCAGAGCCUGAGAACGUGGCUGCUAGUGAAAGUGUUUAUGUGUUUAUGUGACCACAGCAGGACAUUUGAAAAUGAUUCAGGACACAGGACAACUCUUCACGACUCCAGCAUUGUAGGACAAUUGGCAUCCCCAAUCUGUUCCCACUCACUGCCAGAAGCACCCCAAAUCCUUGCAACAGCCAAGAAACCCCUUCACAAGUUUCCAGAGCAUACCGUGGCAGGGGACAUUUGGACUCAGACACGGCACACAAGGGGAAUGCCAUGUGAAAUAAAGGCAAAGAUGGGGUGAUGCCUUGCAAACCGAGGAAUGAUGAAGAUUGCCAGCUAACGAGCAGAACCUAGGGGAGAGGCAUGGGGCAGAUUCUUCUCAUAGGCCAAGAAGGAAGCAACCCUGCUGACACUCCUCUCUCAGACUGAGCCUCCAGAACUGGGAGACGCUACAUUUCUGGUGUUUAAGCCACGCACUUUGUGAUACUUUUCAAUGGCAGCCUCAGCAAAGACAUACAAUACUAUUCUGUGUCUCUGAGCUUUAGGUGACAGACAAGAAACAAGCAGAAUUAAGACAAGCUGAGGAGGAGGGAGGCCUGGGGCUCCUACAGGUUGAAUGACCUCCCUCUGUGGAGGUGUCAGCAGGCUGGAACCAGAAGCAGAAGCGCACUUCGAGCAGAGAUGCUUGCAUUCACAUUGCCUUUCCCGUGAGUCCCAUCUCGCAGCAAAAGACGCAUCUAUUAAGUCAGAUUUGCAAUCAAGUUGUUUUUAUCGAAAAAAGAAAGUUGCAAUUAGUUUCGAGCCUUCUUUCAGGCAGUAGGUUUGAGAAAUGAAAAUAAUGAAUAACUCAAACUGUAGCUGGAGCAUGACAGACUUUUAACUGGCUGCAGUUUAUAGCCUGUGUGGCUGGGAGAAAUGAGAUCUCCAUCUCAUUCUAGAUCCUUCUCUAUACCUUGCUAAGCAUGCAUGAUGAAAUGGGUUCCAUAAUACUGCCUGAAAUGUACAGCAUGACAUACUACUGAUGGAAAUGAAAUGAGCAGUUCAAAAUCACGGGCCCUGAAAGAAAAAGCAGACCUUAUAAUAUCCAGUUUCAAAAAGUAAUGUAUUUAAAAACAAUUUGCAAACUGGAAAGGCAAUUAAAAGGGUCCUUUUACUCUACUGUGCCAUGUGUCACAAACUUUAAGCUUUGAGAGUUGCUCAUUGCAUCUAAGAUUGAGCCAAAGACAUUUGGCUUCAGCAAAAACUAGGAAAAGCACUGCUAAAAUGAUCAUAUUCUAUGUAGUACUUUGAAUACUUUCAAUGAUGACAGAUUCUUCUGAAAGCAGGGUCUGUGGAAUAUGCCUCUCUUAUAGUAUUUCACCCUGAAAUAUUUAUAGGAAUGUUUCUGUAUACUUUAAGAUUUUAUAUUCUAAAUGGAAACUUCCAAAUAUCAAAAAUAGUAUUAAUUUUCUAAAAUAGUGUAAGCUACACACAAAAAAUAGUGUAAGCUAAUAUUAUUAGCCUGUAUUAUUUUGUUCUUCAUUCAGAAUAAAGUAUAUUAGUGCAUAAAUAAUAGAGAUACAUAUUUUAUUAUAGAAUUGUACAAUUAUCCUGUGUACUCAGUAUCAUAGAGAUGUAAACUUAUAGUUCCAUCAACAUGUCUGAAAUUGACAGGUUUAAAAUUAAAAUGUGA